rnacentral:rRNA from 1 species
AGUGAACGCUGGCGGUAGGCCUAACACAUGCAAGUCGAACGGCAGCACAGUAAGAGCUUGCUCUUACGGGUGGCGAGUGGCGGACGGGUGAGGAAUACAUCGGAAUCUACUUUUUCGUGGGUGAUAACGUAGGGAAACUUACGCUAAUACCGCAUACGACCUACGGGUGAAAGCAGGGGAUCUUCGGACCUUGCGCGAUUGAAUGAGCCGAUGUCGGAUUAGCUAGUUGGCGGGGUAAAGGCCCACCAAGGCGACGAUCCGUAGCUGGUCUGAGAGGAUGAUCAGCCACACUGGAACUGAGACACGGUCCAGACUCCUACGGGAGGCAGCAGUGGGGAAUAUUGCACAAUGGGCGAAAGCCUGAUCCAGCCAUACCGCGUGGGUGAAGAAGGCCUUCGGGUUGUAAAGCCCUGUUGUUGGGAAAGAAAAGCAGCAGGUUAAUACCCCGCUGUUCUGACGGUACCCAAAGAAUAAGCACCGGCUAACUUCGUG